rnacentral:lncRNA from 1 species
CCAAGGUUUGUGGAGUGAAGAAUUUGUUAAGCCAAGUUCAAUUUUCCAGGUUUCAUCUUGCAUCAUGCAAGUUAAAAGAAUGACAGCAUUCGAGUCUCCUGAUAACCAAAUUAAUUGCAGCAGCUUCUUAGGCCUUCUAAAAUGAUUGGCUUCACCUGCAAGGAGAUAAGGACUAAAAUGAUUGGCUUCAACUGCAAGGAGAUAAGGAUUGGCUUCAACUGCAAGGAGUUAAGGACUAAAAUGAUUGGCUUCAACUGCAAGGAGAUAAGGACCGAUCCCCAAUUUCCAAGUUGAGGUUUGAGGAUCACCUGUUUCCAAUUUUCUGGGAAAUUGCUCUUUUCAAGGUACAUGUCAGAUUUGUACAUCCAACUUUAAAUAGUAAAAGUUUUUCAGUGGACUACGG